rnacentral:rRNA from 1 species
GAUGAACGCUAGCUACAGGCUUAACACAUGCAAGUCGAGGGGAAACGACAUCGAAAGCUUGCUUUUGAUGGGCGUCGACCGGCGCACGGGUGAGUAACGCGUAUCCAACCUGCCCACCACUUGGGGAUAACCUUGCGAAAGUAAGACUAAUACCCAAUGACGUCUCUAGAAGACAUCUGAAAGAGAUUAAAGAUUUAUCGGUGAUGGAUGGGGAUGCGUCUGAUUAGCUUGUUGGCGGGGUAACGGCCCACCAAGGCGACGAUCAGUAGGGGUUCUGAGAGGAAGGUCCCCCACAUUGGAACUGAGACACGGUCCAAACUCCUACGGGAGGCAGCAGUGAGGAAUAUUGGUCAAUGGACGAGAGUCUGAACCAGCCAAGUAGCGUGCAGGAUGACGGCCCUAUGGGUUGUAAACCGCUUUUAUAAGGGAAUAAAGUGAGUCUCGUGAGACUUUUUGCAUGUACCUUAUGAAUAAGGACCGGCUAAUUCCGUG